rnacentral:rRNA from 1 species
GAUGAACGCUGGCGGCGUGUCUAAGGCAUGCAAGUCGAACGGACUGUUAUUUGUAGCAAUACUUAGAACAGUUAGUGGCAAACGGGUGCGUAACACAUUGGUAACCUGCCUCAAAGUCGGGCAUAAUCCCGCGAAAGUGGGACUAAUUCCACGAUAGUCAUCGAAGGUGAGAUUCCUUCGAUGUAAAGUCGCAAGACGCUUUGAGAGGGGCCUAUGGCCUAUCAGCUUGUUGGUGAGGUAACGGCUCACCAAGGCUAUGACGGGUAGGGGGUGUGAGAGCACGACCCCCCUCACUGGGACUGAGACACUGUCCAGACACCUACGGGUGGCUGCAGUCGAGAAUAUUCCCCAAUGGCCGAAAGGCUGAGGGAGCGACGCCGCGUGCAGGAAUAAGGCC